rnacentral:rRNA from 1 species
AACGAACGCUGGCGGCAUGCCUAACACAUGCAAGUCGAACGAGACCUUCGGGUCUAGUGGCGCACGGGUGCGUAACGCGUUGGAACCUGCCCUUAGGUUCCGUAUAACUCCCCGAAAGGGGUGCUAAUACCGGAUAAUGUCUUCGGACCAAAGAUUUAUCGCCUUUGGAUGGGCCCGCGUUGGAUUAGCUCGUUGGUAGGGUAAAAGCCUACCAAGGCGACGAUCCUUAGCUGGUCUGAGAGGAUGAUCAGCCACACUGGGACUGAGACACGGCCGAGACUGCUACGGGAGGCAGCAGUGGGGAAUAUUGGACAAUGGGCGAAAGGCUGAGCAAGCAAUGCCGCGUGAGUGAUGAAGGCCUUAGGGUUGUAAAGCUCUUUUACACGGGAUGAUAAUGACAGUACCGGGAGAAUAAGCACCGGCUAACUCCGUG